UUGGGCCCUUCAUCCCACCUUGGCCCUUACCCGCUCCUCCCAGGGAAAUCUGAGUUCGGGAGCUGCCCCCCUCCCUCGAGGGACAGGAAACCACUAGUCCCUGCUUGCUAGUUGCCAAGCAACCCAAGGAUGAGCCUUGGAGGUCAUUUCUCAGACAGCUCUGCGCCUCCCCACAGCCUGUGAACAGAUGGCCCCCGCUAGCAGCCAGCUCCAGCCCUAAGCAAAUUGCUCCGCUCCUGCAGCCUGUCUCCCUGAUUGAUGAAGUCUCGGCCUCAGGGAGACAAUCCCCUUCUGAUGGCAGGAAGGUACAAACUCUGGGAGAGAUGCCGGCAGCUCCAGGACCCUCUCUGUCCCGUGGUCCUCUGUUUUACUUUUUAUUUUUAUUUUAUUUUGGUUUUGUAUUUUUGAAAAAGCAUCUCACUACGUACCCCCUGGUUGGCCUUGCACUCACUGUGUGUGAGGGUCCUGGCAAGCAUCACGGCCUGCAGCGAAACGAUCUGAGAAGAGGCAAGAAUGAAAUUCAGCUCAGCUCAACUCUAGUUAUCCGGUACUGGUUCAAACCUCCGGAGUCAACGCGGGUUCAGUUCAGCCAUAUUCAAGCACAGCACAAUUUUGGAAAAAGGUUUCCUGACAACAGUGAACUCAGUCCUGUUCACUAGGACAUGUUCACAUUGAAACUCUUUACAAAGUGCAUAUAGCUUCUUUCAUAAGGAUGGUUCUGUUGACUUAGAAACUUAGUGCUCAAGAGAAGCGUCUAGGGAGAAUGUCUGAGGUAAACACAUGCCCGUGGGAGUCAGAUAACAUGGAAGUCACUUAGGUUGCUGUAAGACAUAAGUGACAUCUCUCACAGGAUGGUUUAUGGACUGAGAACCAAUGCUCAAGAUCUAGGGGGUAAAGUCUGUGUUAAACAAACAAUAUUCUGGGGGAUUUGGGUGAACCUGGCUCUACACAUGGCCAAGAUCACCAGGUUGUAAACUACAUCCUUUCCCAGCAUUCCAAGCAGAAGACCGUUAAGCAUCUCCUUCCUUUGAAGAGACAAACACUCUCGGUUAACUUUUCCUGGUUUCACUAGUGCUUAUCUGUGUGUACAAGGACCUCUUACCUGCUACAACUCUGUAGACCAGGCUAGCACCAGACUCCCAGAGAUCCAGCUGCCUCCGCUUCCUGUGUGCUGGCAUUUCAGGUGUGUGCCACCAUGCCCUGAUUAAAGCAGCUCAUUUUUAUUCUUUAA